rnacentral:rRNA from 1 species
CGGGGUGCAGCAGGCGCGAAACCUUCGCAAUGCGCGAAAGCGUGACGAGGUUAAUCCGAGUGACUUCCGCUGAGGAGGUCUUUUGUCAGCUAUAAAUAGGCGGGCGAAUAAGGGGAGGGCAAGCCUGGUGUCAGCCGCCGCGGUAAUACCAGCUCCUCGAGUGGUCGGGGCGAUUGUUGGGCCUAAAGCAUCCGUAGCCGGUUCCGUAGGUCUUCUGUUAAAUCCAACCGCUUAACGGUUGACCUGCAGAAGAUACCGCGGGACUAGGAGGCGGGAGAGGCGGACGGUACUCCGCGUGUAGGGGUAAAAUCCUUUGAUCCGCGGAAGACCACCAGUGGCGAAGGCGGUCCGCCAGAACGCGCUCGACGGUGAGGGAUGAAAGCUGGGGGAGCGAACCGGAUUAGAUACCCGGGUAGUCCCAGCCGUAAACGAUGCUAGCUAGAUGAUUCAUUCGCAAGUCGCGAAUGAAGUGUCGCAGGGAAGCCGUUAAGCUAGCCGCCUGGGGAGUACGGCCGCAAGACUGAAACUUAAAGGAAUUGGCGGGGGAGCAC